AGGCUUUGGAGUGUUACACGUGUGGUUGCAAACCUCAAAAAAUGGAAUAGGUUCCGUCAAAGCUUG
rnacentral:tRNA from 1 species